rnacentral:misc_RNA from 1 species
UAGGAAUCGGGAAGAACAGAGUAG